rnacentral:tRNA from 1 species
AUCUAAAUAGCUUAAAUAGAGUGUUACAUUGAAGUCGUAAAGGUGAAUUUCUUUAGAUA